CGUAGGUGGCAAGCGUUGUCCGGAUUUAUUGGGUUUAAAGGGUGCGUAGGCGGCCCUGUAAGUCAGUGCUGAAAUAUCCCAGCUUAACUGGGAGGGUGGCAUUGAUACUGCGGGGCUAGAGUACAGAUGAGGUAGGCGGAAUUGACGGUGUAGCGGUGAAAUGCUUAGAUAUCGUCAAGAACACCUAUAGCGAAGGCAGCUUACUAGGCUGUAACUGGCGCUGAGGCACGAAAGUGUGGGGAUCAAACAGGAUUAGAUACCCUGGUAGUCCACACUGUAAACGUUGAUUACUCGCUGUGUGCGAUAUACAGUACGCGGCCAAGCGAAAGCGCUAAGUAAUCCACCUGGGGAGUACGCCGGCAACGGUG
rnacentral:rRNA from 1 species